GACGAACGCUGGCGGCGUGCCUAAUACAUGCAAGUAGAACGCUGAAGAGAGGAGCUUGCUCUUCUUGGAUGAGUUGCGAACGGGUGAGUAACGCGUAGGUAACCUGCCUUGUAGCGGGGGAUAACUAUUGGAAACGAUAGCUAAUACCGCAUAACAAUGGAUGACACAUGUCAUUUAUUUGAAAGGGGCAAUUGCUCCACUACAAGAUGGACCUGCGUUGUAUUAGCUAGUAGGUGAGGUAAUGGCUCACCUAGGCGACGAUACAUAGCCGACCUGAGAGGGUGAUCGGCCACACUGGGACUGAGACACGGCCCAGACUCCUACGGGAGGCAGCAGUAGGGAGUCUUCGGCAAUGGGGGCAACCCUGACCGAGCAACGCCGCGUGAGUGAAGAAGGUUUUCGGAUCGUAAAGCUCGGUUGUAAGUCAAGAACGGGUGUGAGAGUGGAAAGUUCACACUGUGACGGUAGCUUACCAGAAAGGGACGGCUAACUACGUG
rnacentral:rRNA from 1 species